GUGGGAGGGGGCUUGCCCCCGAUGACGGUGUGUCAGUCAGGAUUAUUUUCAGCUGAUACACCGCUAUCGGGGGCAAGCCCCCUCCCAC
rnacentral:misc_RNA from 1 species